rnacentral:rRNA from 1 species
UACAGAGGGGGCAAGCGUUAUUCGGAAUUAUUGGGCGUAAAGGGCGCGUAGGCGGCCUGGCAAGUGGAUGGUGAAAUCCCUCGGCUUAACCGAGGAACUGCCAUCCAGACUGCUUGGCUUGAGACCGGGAGAGGUGAGUGGAAUUCCCAGUGUAGCGGUGAAAUGCGUAGAUAUUGGGAGGAACACCAGUGGCGAAGGCGGCUCACUGGCCCGAUACUGACGCUGAGGUGCGAAAGCGUGGGGAGCAAACAGG